CGCUAUUCUAUUUUUCUACUGGAACACCAGGUUGCAACUACAGCUUCGCCGAUGAACUCGCUCAUUGCUCUAGAAGGUGCUUGGGCUUGUUUCUCUGACCGAUUAGCUGCGACAUCUCACAUGGAUCUUCACUGCCUCAUAGACCUAUUUUUUAUUCUCUCGUCAAUUCUACAUGUCUGCUCGUCCAUUGCAUGGUGCUAGAUGGUCCCUGUUUAGUUAAUCCAAGGUAAAUCAUAUGCAUAACCAUGGAAUGGCACAUACUGGCCCCAGGCUGUACAAAUUCAUCGCAAGGCCGGGUCAGUCCGAAAGUUCAAAGGGGAAAUAUCCAUUUGAAAGCUGGAAAAUACAUUACUCGCUGCAAGCCUGGUGAGCACUACUUAGAUGAGUUCGCUGCCCACUGUGUGUGGGAAAUACAGUUAAGCUGUAUAACAAAAAUAUUCGCAAUCUGCAAAAUAUCAUCGAAGACAAGAAAACACCUGACCAUUACUACGUAUGCCACAUGACAGAAACAUUUUCUACUGACGGCAAAAGAAUGUAUUGUAGCACACACUUUUCUAAGAGAAGUCUCUUCCCGCACAUGGAUGCUGAUCAUGAUGAGCUACCAAUCAGUACAGGAGACGGGACCACCAGUGUCAUGGCCCUCUUUAUCAAGGGCGUCGACAACAAGGCUACACUCACAAAGAACUGGAGCAGCUUCUUCCAUAAGGCAAACAUGAAGAAAGGAUGUGCAUAUGCUUUCACCUUCAAGUGCGCGUCCAAGGGCCUCUGCAUGGUUGUUUAUCCAAUCUAAGCAGGUCACAAUAGUCCUUUGCUACGUAACUUAUUAUUACUAUAAGUACCGAUCGAGACUUUUAUAUCUGGCAUCAUUUUGGAUCUUAUGUAAGAAAAUUACGAUAAUCCUGUCCAUAUGACUAUCAUCAAUCCGUACUUAUAUCCAUAUGUUUCCUUCUAUGUCUACAUAUUUUGAUGCACACUCUUUCAAUC